rnacentral:rRNA from 1 species
GAUGAACGCUAGCGGGAGGCCUAACACAUGCAAGCCGAGCGGUAUUGUUUCUUCGGAAAUGAGAGAGCGGCGUACGGGUGCGGAACACGUGUGCAACCUGCCUUUAUCUGGGGGAUAGCCUUUCGAAAGGAAGAUUAAUACUCCAUAAUAUAUUGAACGGCAUCGUUUAAUAUUGAAAGCUCCGGCGGAUAGAGAUGGGCACGCGCAAGAUUAGCUAGUUGGUGAGGUAACGGCUCACCAAGGCAAUGAUCUUUAGGGGGCCUGAGAGGGUGAUCCCCCACACUGGUACUGAGACACGGACCAGACUCCUACGGGAGGCAGCAGUGAGGAAUAUUGGUCAAUGGGUGCAAGCCUGACCAGCCAUCCCGCGUGAAGGACGACUGCCCUAUGGGUUGUAAAC